GCUUUUAUAAAUGAAGUUUUUGUUUCUGCUUCUGCUGGCAAUGUUGGAGCUGCUGGAAGUGUUGUGAAUGCAGCUCCUUGGUUUUUGAUAGUUGCAGCAAGUACAAUUAAUCGAGAAAGCUUUUGCUAAUUUGUGUCUUGGAAAUAGAAGAGAACUGCAGUAGCAGCUUUUGGGGAUUUUAAUCAGGUAGCAAUGUGAGUAAAGUAUGUCACUAGCUAUUGUAAAGAUACACUCGAUCUCAUCUGAUCAGUAAAAAGAUUGUGGUGUGCAUAAUUUGGAAUCAUGGGAUGAAAAAGUAUGUGAGAAAUCAGAAGUAGUAACAGAACAAGGAGGUGCUGGGAUGGUCCUCAUAUCUCCAGGUAUAGGAACUGAUAUGAUAUACAAUUUUGCAGUUCCUACCAUGAUAAUAAUUAAGAAAGGUGAAGCCGACAGAUAAAUGCGUAGCACAAAGUGAGUAUUAUAUGCCUAAAUUCAUGGGUCUUUCUUUGGUUUUUGGGUUGAACUAUAUAGUGUAAAAAUAUGUAAUUUGACAGUAUUUGUGAUAAUUGCAGUAGUCCGGUUGCAAGCUUUUUAUUCAAUAAGAACAAGGUUAAAACCUAAUCCGAGAAUAGUUAUCUUCUCUUCAAAAGGAUCUAGUUCAUUAUCUCCUGACAUCAUUA